rnacentral:rRNA from 1 species
AGAGUUUGAUCCUGGCUCAGGAUGAACGCUGGCGGCGUGCCUAACACAUGCAAGUCGAGCAGAAGCUCUUGACUGAUCCUUCGGGUGACGGAUAGAGCGGAAAGCGGCGGACGGGUGAGUACGCGUAGGCAACCUGCCCUUCACAGAGGGAUAGCCUCGGGAAACCGGGAUUAAAACCUCUAAUGCCACGAAGAGACAUCUCUUUGUGGCCAAAGAUUUAUCGGUGGAGGAUGGGCCUGCUCUGAUUAGUUAGUUGGUGGGGUAACGGCCUACCAAGGCGACGAUCAGUAGCCGACCUGAAGGGUGAUCGGCCACAUUGGAACUGAGACACGGUCCAAACUCCUACGGGAGGCAGCAGUGGGAAUAUUGCACAAUGGGGGAAACCCUGAUGCAGCAACGCCGCGUGAAGGAAGAAGGCCUCGGGUCGUAAACUUCUGUCCUUGGGGAAGAAACAAAUGACGGUACCCUUGGAGGAAGCCCGGCUAACUACGUGCCAGCAGCCGCGGUAAUACGUAGGGGGCAAGCGUUAUCCGGAAUUAUGGGCGUAAAGAGUACGUAGGCGGUUCUUUAAGCGCAGGG